rnacentral:rRNA from 1 species
CCUACGGGAGGCUGCAGUGGGGAAUAUUGGACAAUGGGGGGAACCCUGAUCCAGCCAUGCCGCGUGUGUGAAGAAGGCCCUCGGGUUGUAAAGCACUUUCAGUGAGGAAGAACGCCUGGUGGUUAAUACCCAUCAGGAAAGACAUCACUCACAGAAGAAGCACCGGCUAACUCCGUGCCAGCAGCCGCGGUAAUACGGAGGGUGCGAGCGUUAAUCGGAAUUACUGGGCGUAAAGCGCGCGUAGGUGGCUUGAUAAGCCGGUUGUGAAAGCCCUGGGCUCAACCUGGGAACGGCAUCCGGAACUGUCAAGCUAGAGUGCAGGAGAGGAAGGUAGAAUUCCCGGUGUAGCGGUGAAAUGCGUAGAGAUCGGGAGGAAUACCAGUGGCGAAGGCGGCCUUCUGGACUGACACUGACACUGAGGUGCGAAAGCGUGGGUAGCAAACAGGAUUAGAUACCCGGGUAGUC